UAGGGCUUAACAAUCUGUAGGUCCGACAUCCUCUGUCCCUAACCGUCUACGAGAGUGAGGAAAAACUACAGAAAGACGCUUCUAACAGGGGGACAAUGCAGCAACCUCAAGGAGAGACACAGGUGGAAUGAUGAUUAAGGUGCUUUGUGAGGAACUUGACUCUGAGGAAUCAGGGGCUUCACUGUCUCCUGCAGCAGCUGUGUACUGAUCCACAGAGAGGAGGUCCUGAGAAGAAGAAACGAGACAACGGCCAGUUUUGCAAAUGCUGUAGCCUAAUUUCUAAUUACUCCUGAGUCUCCUUUCACAACAUAUAUAUAUUUUCCAGGAGCACAUCUCUACCAGAUGUUGUUUUAAGGCUCCUUGAGAGACGGUG